rnacentral:rRNA from 1 species
UACCAGCACCCCGAGUGGUCGGGACGAUUAUUGGGCCUAAAGCAUCCGUAGCCGGUUCUGCAAGUCCCCCGUUAAAUCCAGCUGCUCAACAGAUGGGCCGCGGAGGAUACUAUAGAGCUAGGAGGCGGGAGAGGCAAGCGGUACUCGAUGGGUAGGGGUAAAAUCCGUUGAUCCAUUGAAGACCACCAGUGGCGAAGGCGGCUUGCCAGAACGCGCUCGACGGUGAGGGAUGAAAGCUGGGGGAGCAAACCGGG